rnacentral:rRNA from 2 species
GGACUACUGGGGUAUCUAAUCCUGUUUGCUCCCCACGCUUUCGUGCCUCAGUGUCAGUGCUGGUCCAGGUAGCCGCCUUCGCCACUGGUGUUCCUCCCGAUCUCUACGCAUUUCACUGCUACACCGGGAAUUCCACUACCCUCUACCGCACUCUAGCUUUCCAGUAUCCACUGCCAUUCCCAGGUUGAGCCCAGGGCUUUCACAACGGACUUAAAAAACCACCUACGCACGCUUUACGCCCAGUAAUUCCGAGUAACGCUUGCACCCUUCGUAUUACCGCGGCUGCUGGCAC